GCCCGUCUAGCUCAGUUGGUAGAGCGCAAGGCUCUUAACCUUGUGAUCGUGGGUUCGAGCCCCACGGUGGGGCA
rfam:Ipomoea nil DNA, scaffold: scaffold2036, cultivar: Tokyo-kokei standard.